rnacentral:rRNA from 1 species
GGUACGGCGGUGCCGGCGGGCGGUGGAAGACGGGGGGGGCGUGGGUUGGUGGGAAGGAAGUGGCGGAAGGGGGGCGGAGGCGGUUUGUUAAGCGAGAUGUGGAAGCCCUGGGGUGAACCGAGGAAUAGCAUUUCGGACUGGCGAACUAGAGUCGUGUAGAGGGGGGGAGAAGUCCAGGUGUAGCGGUGAAAUGCGGAGAGAUCUGGAGGAAUACCGGUGGCGAAGGCGGCCCCCUGGACAAAGACUGACGCUCAUGCACGAAAGCGUGGGGAGCAAACAGGAUUAGAUACCCUUGUAGUC